rnacentral:rRNA from 1 species
UACGGAGGGUGCAAGCGUUAUCCGGAUUCACUGGGUUUAAAGGGUGCGUAGGCGGCGCGGUAAGUCGGGUGUGAAAUUUCGAGGCUUAACUUCGAAACUGCAUUCGAUACUGCCGUGCUUGAGGACUGGAGAGGAGACUGGAAUUUACGGUGUAGCGGUGAAAUGCGUAGAUAUCGUAAGGAAGACCAGUGGCGAAGGCGGGUCUCUGGACAGUUCCUGACGCUGAGGCACGAAGGCCAGGGGAGCAAACGGG